UGUCAGUAGCCAUCCCUUAGUUAAUGGAAAAAAUACAAAAAUCCUUGUAUAGAACUGUGCACUUCACAGUUCCAGCGACACGGUGUUUGGCUGUUGUGUGCAUGCUCACAUGUCUGAGAUAAGAAGCUUCACGCUAGGGAGAGACAGCACUGCUAUUCACGCACUGCUGGU